rnacentral:pre_miRNA from 1 species
UAGGUUUGUCCCAAGUCAAACUUGCUUAAGUAUGACCGACUAUAGAAAAUGUGCAAAGAUCUACAACACCAAAUACACAUAGUACGGAAAUAUAUUUCAUAAAGAAUCUAAUGAGACUGAUUUGGUGUUCCAAAUGUUCAUUUUUUUUUUCAUAGACUUGGUCAAACUUAAACAAGUUUGACUUAGGACAAACUUAA